UAAGUAAAAUAAAUGGUCGCGGCUGUCCAGACGAAAGGGGACAGGUGAGGAAAGUCCGGGCUUCACAGGGCAGGAUGCCGGAUAACGUCCGGUGGAGGUGACUCCAAGGAUAGUGCAACAGAAAUGAACCGCCAGGCUUUGCCUGGUAAGGGUGGAAGGGCAGUUUAAGAGACUACCGCCUGUCUGGCAACAGGCAGGGCACAUGUAAACCCCAUCCGAAGCAAGACCGAACAGAAAGCGACAGGCCGGCCCGGCCUGCUUUCAGGUGGGUCGCUCGAUCCUGCCGGCAACGGCAGGGCUAGAUAGAUGACCAUUCACGACAUAACCCGGCUUAUCGUUUUGCUUACAAA
rnacentral:RNase_P_RNA from 1 species